rnacentral:lncRNA from 1 species
UGCAUUGAAUAACACAUUCAUAAAUGGGAAUAAAGACAGUAAAACAUUUAUCAUAAGGAAUAAGGUUUUGAAGUGUCUGUCCUAUAUCUAGGAGACAUAAUAUAUAUAUAAUUUUUUAUUAUAUAUAUAUAUACUUUUUUUUUGUUGAAACAAAACUACCCCUGUACUUCCAUUUAUUUGUAUGGGUUACCUUCAGACGAGUCUGUGACACUUAUGAAGUCAUAUUAGUUUCUAGCCCAAACGGUUAGAUUUUUUGGGAUGUCUCAUGGUCUGACAAACACGACUGUAGAUCGACCACCUUCCACCGCAGAUGUGGAUGUGCUGGAUUGAGACGAAGCCCAUACGGUUCAACUCUACCAUUGAAAUCGUGAUGGUGCCUCUAUGUCACCAAAAGAGAGGUGUUCAGUAUGAAAUACACUCCCUUCUAGAUGUGCUGGGUGGUACCACCUCAAGGCUUACUAUAAAAGCAGAUGACAGCGCGCCUUAUUUGUGUCUGUCCUCACAACAGUGAAUGGAGCCAGCAGCAUACCAUCCUGCAUCCGACUUUUGGCUUGCCUCUCAAGCGAAACAGCGUUGAUCCUGGAUGGGUGACCAGAUGUUGCUGGAAGAGAUGUUGGAGGGCGAGUAGGAGACAGUCUUUCUUCUGGUCAAAAAAUAAAAUAAAAAUUCCAAUGCCCCAGGGCAGUGAUUGGGGAUAUUGCCCUGUGUAGGGUGCUUUCUUUCGAAUGGGACGUUAAACGGGUGUCCUGACUCUCUGUGGUCACUAAAGAUCCCAUGGCACUUAUUGUAAGAGUAGGGGUGUUAAGUUGGUGUUCUGGUUAAAUUCCCAAUCUGGCCCUCAUACCAUCAUGGCCACCUAAUCAUCCCCAGCUUCUAAUUGGCUCAUUCAUCCCCCCUCCUCUCCCCUGUAACUUAUUUUCCCUAGGUUGUUUCUGUAGAUGAGAAUGUGUUCAAAGUCAACUUACCUGGUAAAAAAAAUAAUGCAGGAAAGUCAGCAAAAACACUAAAGUGAAUACUAUAGUAUUUAUACCAUAGUAUACUAUAAUAUUUUUUUAACUUGGGAAGGGCUUCUGAAGAGCGCUGUCAGUGAGUAUGAAAUUCUUGGUUCACUGGAGAUCUUGUUAGUUUGUUGAGCACACGUGUUUUAUUUAAUUAUAAAACUGAAUAUCACUCAUCAUGAGAGUGUAAGUGUAAGUCAUAGGUGCCUCAGAACAUCUGAUAGGGUAUAGCUGAGAUUUUUUUAUGUGUUUUUAUUGAUGGAUGAUAUUAAUCUGAUGGUUAUGUUCACAGCCUUACAAUAACAGUGUGUUCAAUACUGACCAAUUGUCAUCCAAAAAACACAUUUUUAAAUGGUUAGAUUUUUGGUACAUCCUGUCUCCCUAUCUUUUUCCUCAACAGCAUAUACAUUAACUACUGCAAGCAUGUCGUGGGUUAGGGGCUGGGCUAUGACCAGGGCAGGGCUGGGCCAGGACUGGGUGUAGUCUAUGUCUGUAUAAUCAUGGGGUCCGGACAGUUGUCCAGGGGCUUGUGCUAAUCGGCACUGGGCACGGUGCCCUGCGUCCAGACCAGUACACCAACACACCGUGGCUUUAGAGAGCCUAAAGCCCUGUGGCUCAGUAUGGAACAAUGGAGGGCCCAGUAAUGUGCUGACUCCUAGCCCGUCCUGCAGGCCUGGGCUCCAUUCACCACCACUCUGUAUAAAUAGGCCCGUUUACUCAGGGGUCAGGACAUCGUUUUGUGGAGCCCCCCGUGAGCGCUACACAGCUAUUUUUUUGGGGUAGGUCAGGUAAGCCCUCCAUCUUUAGACCGUUCAGCCUAUAGCCUUUUGCCAGCAUUGUUGUCCAUUUUCAUUGUCCUGUUUUUUCCUUUACUGUUUUCUGCUGAGUCUUGGGAAUGUAUAGAAAGGGUCAUAUGCUCACAAACACAUAGGACACACACACAUACUCUAAAUGGACACACCAAUCGUCAUCACUGUCAACAUCAUGCACUGUCAACAUCACACUAGAAUGCUACUGUAUGUAUGCUGUGACGCCAUCAACAGCAUAGUUUAUGUUACACACUCAGAGUGUAACAAUUGCAUGACUUACAGGCACAUGAUACAAUGAGAAUUGAAUUUAUAGCAACUAAUAAAGCACAACAU